rnacentral:rRNA from 1 species
UGGGGAAUAUUGCGCAAUGGGGGAAACCCUGACGCAGCAACGCCGCGUGCGGGAUGAAGGCCUUCGGGUUGUAAACCGCUUUUGAUUGGGAGCAAGCCUUUUGGGUGAGUGUACCUUUCGAAUAAGCGCCGGCUAACUACGUGCCAGCAGCCGCGGUAAUACGUAGGGCGCAAGCGUUAUCCGGAAUUAUUGGGCGUAAAGAGCUUGUAGGCGGUUCGUCGCGUCUGGUGUGAAAGCCCAUCGCUUAACGGUGGGUUUGCGCCGGGUACGGGCGGGCUAGAGUGCAGUAGGGGAGGCUGGAAUUCCCGGUGUAACGGUGGAAUGUGUAGAUAUCGGGAAGAACACCAAUGGCGAAGGCAGGUCUCUGGGCUGUUACUGACGCUGAGAAGCGAAAGCGUGGGGAGCGAACAGG